AGGAUUAUAUGUCAAAGGAAGUAUUGACAGUUUACACAAUUGAGAUCUGCACUACAAAGUGAGUAGUGAGUCAUCCUGACCCUUUACAAGAUUAAGAAGGAAUGUUAUCUCCUAAGGGGGUCUGGUCAAUGCAGAUGCACAACUCACAUGAAAAGUGAGGGAGGAGACCCAAACAGGCAAAGAAAAACCUUGUUUAAAUUUUUCUUGUCUUGCUAUAAAAUACAAGUUUUAUUCAUCAGAGGUGAUAAUAAUGACUAACAUUUGUUGUAUAGUAGACUAAGCAGAUAUAUGCCUCAUUUCUGCAUUUUCAGAAUCUCUAGAAAGUAAGUCUUCUUGACAGACAUCCAUUUUAGAGAUGAAGAAAUUGAAGCCUAACUGUUGAGGUGCCAUCUCUGAAAACCAGUGCUCUGCCCAGAGCCCCAGCAGCCAGAGUAUGCCACUGAACCCACACAGCAGGGUGAAUACUGAACCAAGGAUGCAGUUCAGAGAACUUGGACAGACAGUUGAUGUGAAAUUCAUUUUGUGGCCAGCUUUCCAGUAGACUAUGAGCUCCUCAAGCCCAGACCUCUGGUUUGGGCAAUUUAUCUCCAUUUUUUCAGAGGAAGACACUGAGACACAGAGAACUCUCCCAGAAGCCUUCUGCCCAUGGACACCUUACAUCAGAUUGCUUUCUGAGAGAAAAGAGAUGGAAUUCUGCUCUGACAGCACUGAUACUGAGCAACGUGUUUUCCUGGAACUCUGGGACAGAACGGAUGGCCUGAUUUCAAUCUGCCUUUCCAGAAGCCAUUUGCCUUGGCUUAUUCCUGACUCCAAGGGCAGAUGUGACCAUUCUUGGCUCUUUGACUUUUGAGGGGGUAGAGAUAUGGAGUGGUGCCACUUUGCUAUUACAUACUAAAGUCAUUCCCUUAACAACAAAAAAAGUUGGGGAGAGGACUCACAGUUUCCAAUUCAAGUGCUUUCCAAAAAAAUAAAAUAUGGGAAAAAUAUAGUUUAAAAUAUCUG
rnacentral:lncRNA from 1 species